CCUACGGGAGGCAGCAGUGGGGAAUUUUGGACAAUGGGCGAAAGCCUGAUCCAGCAAUGCCGCGUGAGUGAAGAAGGCCUUCGGGUUGUAAAGCUCUUUUGUCAGGGAAGAAACGGUGAAAGCUAAUAUCUUUUGCUAAUGACGGUACCUGAAGAAUAAGCACCGGCUAACUACGUGCCAGCAGCCGCGGUAAUACGUAGGGUGCAAGCGUUAAUCGGAAUUACUGGGCGUAAAGCGUGCGCAGGCGGUUUUGUAAGUCUGAUGUGAAAUCCCCGGGCUCAACCUGGGAAUUGCAUUGGAGACUGCAAGGCUAGAAUCUGGCAGAGGGGGGUAGAAUUCCACGUGUAGCAGUGAAAUGCGUAGAUAUGUGGAGGAACACCGAUGGCGAAGGCAGCCCCCUGGGUCAAGAUUGACGCUCAUGCACGAAAGCGUGGGGAGCAAACAGGAUUAGAUACCCUGGUAGUCCACGCCCUAAACGAUGUCUACUAGUUGUCGGGUCUUAAUUGACUUGGUAACGCAGCUAACGCGUGAAGUAGACCGCCUGGGGAGUACGGUCGCAAGNUUAAAACGUCAAAUGAAUUGACGGCUGAGAGNGCGAGCGACGACGAGGGAGGAGG
rnacentral:rRNA from 1 species